GCCCUCGUAGCUCAACGGAUAGAGCACUUGGCUUCGGACCAAGGGGUUGGGGGUUCGAGUCCCUCCGAGGGUA
rnacentral:tRNA from 1 species